rnacentral:rRNA from 1 species
GAAAGGUGCGAGCGUUAAUCGGAAUUACUGGGCGUAAAGCGUACGUAGGCGGUUGAUUAAGCAGGAUGUGAAAGCCCCGAGCUCAACUUGGGAACUGCAUCCUGAACUGGUCAACUAGAGUACAGCAGAGGAGAGUGGAAUUUCUCGUGUAGCGGUGAAAUGCGUAGAUAUGAGAAGGAACACCAGUGGCGAAGGCGACUCUCUGGUUGAUAACUGACGCUGAGGUACGAAAGCGUGGGGAGCAAACAGGAUUAGAUACCCUGGUAGUCCACGCCGUAAACGAUGAGAACUAGCCGUGGCCUACGGAUUGGUGGCGCACGUAACGCGAUAAGUUCUCCGCCU